rnacentral:lncRNA from 1 species
AAGAAAUAAAGCAGUGAAAAAGUUAUAUAUGGUGAGUGUGGGAAAUUGAAGAGUUGAUUGAUAUAUCGGGUGUUACACUAUUGAAGAGGACUUUGAUGAAUAGAGGAGAUGUUGAUUGACUUUACAGUCUCAACAAUGUCAAAAGACUAAACGUUGUAGGAAUAGUUAGGUCGCCUAAGAUUUAGAAGAGAAGGGCAACAAAUUUUUUAGGCCUCGGUUUCGGCAGGAACCAAACAAACUCUCGACUUGGCCUGUUUUAGUUUAGUAAUUGUAGCUAUAAGCUGAUGACAUGGCAAAUUCUGAUAGGCUUGAAUUAAUCAGUCUACGUGGACAGCUUCUCCGCUCACCUUAUUCUCCGUUCUCUUCCCCAGAUUCUACGGCCUCUCGCUUCCUCCUCGAUUGAAGCUAUAGAGACGAAUCUGUUGGCAGCGUUAUCCGGAGAUUAAGAAAUCAAAAUAUGUGAGGCAUAUAAGAAAAAUAAAAAAUCAGAAUGAAGAAUAAAAUUUUUGUUUAACUGGUGUGGAAUAAGGCAAGAAAUAAAGCAGUGAAAAAGUUAUAUAUGGUGAGUGUGGGAAAUUGAAGAGUUGAUUGAUAUAUCGGGUGUUACACUAUUGAAGAGGACUUUGAUGAAUAGAGGAGAUGUUGAUUGACUUUACAGUCUCAACAAUGUCAAAAGACUAAACGUUGAAGAAGAUGAAUAGUUAGGUCGCCUAAGAUUUAGAAGGGAAGGGCAACAAAUUUUUUGGGCCUCGGCUUCGGCAGGAACCAAACAAACUCUCGACUUGGCCUGUUUUAGUGUAGUGAUUGUAGCUGUAAGCUGAUGACAUGGCAAAUUCUGAUAGGCUUCAGUCUAUGUGGACAGCUUCGCCGCUCACCUUAUUCUCCGCUCUCGUCCCCAGAUUCUACGGCCUCUCGUUUCCUCCUCGAUUGAAGCUAUAGAGACGAAUCUGUUGGCAGCGUUAUCCGGAGAUGAAGAAAUCAAAAUAUGUGAGGCAUAUAAGAAAAAUAAAAAAUCAGAAUGAAGAAUAAAUAUUUUGUUUAACUGGUGUGUGGAAUAAGGCAAGAGAUAAAGCAGUGAAAAAGUUAUAUAUGGUGAGUGUGGGAAAUUGAAGAGUUGAUUGAAAUAUCGGGUGUUACACUAUUGAAGAAGACUUUGAUGAAUAGAGGAGAUGUUGAUUGACUUUACAGUCUCAACAAUGUCAAAAGACUAAACGUUGAAGAAGAGGAAUAGUUAGGUCGCCUAAGAUUUAGAAGGGAAGGGCAACAAAUUUUUUGGGCCUCGGUUUCGACAGGAACCAAACAAACUCUCGACUUGGCAUGUUUUAGUUUAGUGAUUGUAGCUGUAAGCUGAUGACUUGGCAA